UAGGGAAUCUUGCGCAAUGGGCGAAAGCCUGACGCAGCCAUGCCGCGUGUAUGAUGAAGGUCUUAGGAUUGUAAAAUACUUUCACCGGUGAAGAUAAUGACUGUAGCCGGAGAAGAAGCCCCGGCUAACUUCGUG
rnacentral:rRNA from 1 species